ensembl:lncRNA
CCUAAACAAAGAAAGACAUAUUUCCUUAAAAUGAAGGAAAAAAAAACCUCUAAUCCAAAGCCUGGAAGCCAUUCUGUAAAGACUACUUAAUGUGAAACUUUGUUUACAAGAUACAAAUAUAGCCCUCUCACCACAUUCAAAACCAGAAAACAUCCACUUAUUUAAAGAAAUACUUUUUCUAUUUUGAUCAGCGAGAAUGUAGGUACUCAUUUUAAAUUUAAAUUCAGCUCAAUAGUGCCAUAUAAAUACUUUAAAUUCAUGUAUGAUAUGCACUGUUUGAGAAUGUUUAAACAAAGGAAGUAGGAAAAGCCUCAAAAUACACAGUAAAACUUAAUGACUUCAAUUUAAAAAUACAUACUGAUUGCAGCACGGUAGAAUUAUUCUCUUCUGCUCACAGCCAGCCUUCAGAAAGGGUGAGUGCAGGCAGUGGAGUAAUUUGUCCCACUGGAAAUUCUGUAUAAAACAUCUACCUAAAAUAAACAAGGCUUCGCAGCAAGAAUCGUCAACUGCCAUUAAGGACACACCUUAAAGUUCUUACCACACAGUAACUAAACAAGUACAAACUAGUGGUGACUGUUCGCUACUUUUGUCUGAAAAGUUAAUGAGAUCAAUUCACCCCUCAGUAUCAGAUCUUAAGAUAGUUUUCCUAAAAAGGCAAGAGACAAACAACCCCCAAAGACGAAUAGCCAGCACUCGGGUGCCUGAUGUGUUAUCAGAACGCCCGAGGUUCUUGUAAAUACGCAUAUAAAUAUUAACAUUUAAACCUGACACCACCUAAUACUAGAAGGUAAAACGCUGAGCUGCUGAGAACGCUGCUGCUCGGGUACUGGAAGGCAGCUGUUGUUCCCCUGCCUUUUCUUUUGUUGUGCUUAAUCUCAUGUCAAGUCAUUCAACCAACUCCAAAGCGAUGAAGACAUAAUUGAACAACCUUAACUAAAAGCUGAUCUACUGUUCUUAAAUAGCUCUAGAUAUCGUUUAACGAUUCGAGAAACCCACAUAUUUUAAAGGAACUUAUAGAAUUUAAAUCAGCAACUCUGGUGCAUGCAGAAGAGUUGCCUGGCUGCGGGCCAAGCCAAUCAAUAAUCACUGUAAUAACCACGUUUCUAAAGUUAUUUUCUUUUCAUACUCAUCACUCCAAAAACUUAAAGGCAGAACUGCCAAACUCGGUGCUGAUCUCGAGCACGAGCUGCUAACAUGUAAAACCCAGACGCUUUGUACAGAAUUACAGUAUUGCUCAUUUUUAAAAACAUUACAGAAAGGUUAGUGAUCACAAAGGCACAUUCUUGCCACAGAUCUUAAAAUAUUGACUCUGUUACAGAACUAGUUAAAGGGGAAGAAAAAAACACCUCCACCCUUCCCCUCUGCCCUCCCCCUGCCAAAGAAUGCAGUUUAUCCUACUUAUUUAAAACCGUCCUUCUGCAUUAUCCAAGGAAACGCUUAAACCUUAGUGUGGACAUCACAAAUUAAAGUCUUAGCCGUAUUCCCAAACCUACAGUAAAUAAGAGCUCCUAAGAGCAAUAAAACAUGGCGUUAAAGCAUUUGCAAGCCAUUGUCAUAGCACCGAGCUCUGAUACCUUUGCAGACACAAAACCAGCCCCCCCAGCACGAGCAUGGAAGCACUGGUCAGCAAGUCAAUGCCUGCUAUUCAACUUGUAGUCAGGCGUUUGAGUUCUGUGUCUUCCAGAUCAUAUCACUGCUGCAUUUCAGGGCCUAAUAAAAUGUGAAGAAUGAUAUGUUCUCUUUCUAACCGCAUUUGAAACUGCGUUAUUUCCCUCUCCUCUUUUUCACGCAUUCUUACAAAAACUUCCUUUUUCACAUACUUCUAUAAGAAAACAUCUCACUGCACCUCCUUCAGUUCCUAUUUCUAUUUUCGAUUUUCACUGUGUGCUUCUGCUGCUGCCUCCCCCUCAAACCCACCGCUGGAAACUGGGGUAGUUUUAAAGCUCUCAAGGUCAUUCCAGAAACAACAACAGAAAAAUGUUGUUGCCUAAAAAAAAAAAAAAAAAGAAAGAGAGAGAGAGAGAAAAACCUUUAAGCACACAAAACCCCCAGACUAAAAACCCUUUUCAAAUCCAAACGCCUUUCAUCAGCAGAUCAAUAACACAGCAUAAAGAUUUUUGUUCGCCACCACUUCAAAACUAUUACACUCCAAUUCAGAUACUUACAGGAGUCACAGCACGUUUGGGGGGUGGCUCAUUAAAGCACAGAGCUCACUCUGCUGCAGGUUUCUGUGUGGGGAACAAACAAAAACCCCACACCCAGAACAGAAAGUCCGGUGGGUAUCGCGGAACAGAGUGAAAUUCAAUCCGCAGAUAUCCCAGAAUUUUAUUGUCCUCGCUUGGCAACGUCUUUUGUUGCUCCAGAAGUCAGUUGGAGCUUAUUUAUUUAUUUCCUAAACUUCCUAUUCCCCUCGAAGAUCAGUAAAUAAGAGGAGAAACGCGAUGCCAAGACAUGAUCGUGGCUCAGGCUUCAGAGGAGGGAGGCAAACAACACAAAAAAGCUGGCAGAACGGAUCAAUAAACUUUUCCUUCCCUCCCCCCCGCCGCCCCACGAGCCACUUACUACGGAGCCUUCUUCCAGGCACAUCUCGGCUCACAAAGGAGCUCAGCUCAGCUCCGCUCUCCUCCCGCGCCCCGCACCCUCAGCUCCGCGGGGCCAGUUGAAACCGAGGAGCUUUGGCAACUUAAAUCCACAGUACUGUCAGCAAAAUGCUUAAUCUCUGCUAGACCUGAGGUUAGCGCCUUCCUCAAGCAAAUGGGAUAAGGAAGAGGGCAAAGCACAAGAGCAGCAACUUCAGUGGGACUUGCAUGUGCGUUUCAGUAUCGAUUAUUUUCCAUUGGCAGCAAGGCAGAAAGAACAAAGCCGAAUUUCAAUGAAGGUGGGUGUGAGUUACUAGUUUUGCUAUACUCGGUGUUCUGAGUCAUGUGACUCCUUUAAAAGUCAUGACUGCUAAAAGUGCAGAUUUUAUCAUUUAAAACUCCUUAUGUUGAAGACUUGAAACAAGUUCAGUGCCCAAAAACUUUAAACAAACAAACAAACUCUUCUGCCUUUCCUUUUAACCUCCAGCUCUGCCUCCUGCAAAGUCACAUUUUACAGUAUUUGUUGUUCUCAUGACAUACUAAUAUGCAUUACUUUUCCCCCCUUUCAUUUUCCCCCCCCUUUUUGAAAUAAUCUGCUCUUCCAGGUGAAGUAUGCUGACCUCCUUAAAGCCACAGGGUGUUCCAUUGGAGACGGGACUCUGGGUGACUAUAAACAUGAUUGAGCAGAGAACACAGAAGCCAUGUGGUUUUUUUUCCACUGAGAUAUGAUACCACCAUGGAAAGCAUAAGAAAGUAAAAGGAUUGUUUCAGGAAAAAAAUUAGAGGCUCAGCAUAUCUCUAAACACUUUUUUUUUCCCCCUCAAAAUGCAUCGUAAAACAUCACAUCACAUGACUGAACUGAAAACAUCCAAUUUAUUUUUACAGAUUAGCCACAAUGACCCCCAUGACUUAUGCUCAUGGCACUGGAGAUGUUUGAUAUGAGGCAAGGGCCAACUUGUAAAAAUAAAUCUUAUAUUUUCUCCCCAUGUUUGUUUUGUGCUGGGGACAUUUGCUGCUUUUCUGGAGAAUCUUCAGCACUUGGUAUAUUAUGUACGGUGUAAAAAAUUUGACAGCAAACACACAGGAAAGGCUGACAGACCUGUAUUUACUGUAUUGCUUUGUAUGUUACUACACAGUCUGCAAUAUUAAACCCAACUCCAAACUAGACUUUGGAACCAGGCAGCAAGCCCAAAAUUGUGAUAAUCUCCUCCAUAACAGCAGAAAAAAAUAAAAUAACAUUGCUGAAAGUUGAAAUGUUUAGUUUCAGUCCCAAAACUCCUAAUGUACUUAAAUUUGCAUUUAUGUUCUUUUUAAUUACAUUAUGUAAAUUUACAUUCUUUAAAAAAAUCGUGCUAAAAGUCUUGUAAACUGGUUCAAGCCCUGCUCUACUGCACAUGAGAAAACACUGGCUGUCAGAGAGAAUGAAAACAGAGCUGAUCAAGCAACAGGAAGCCUUUACCUAAAUUUAAGUCUUUCGAGAGUUAGCAUGGGUGUUUGUUUAAAAUAACUGAUCUGAACAGCAAAAUAUCCAGGCAAUACCUGGGAGCAGAUCAGCCAAGCUUCAUUCUUUUGCACAGGGGCUCUCUCAUUUUAGAAUCACAUGUAAGCAGCUAUUAAAUACGGACUGCAGUGUGGUUAGGGCACAAAUGGGAUUUUGGGGAUCUGGGCUCGGUCCCAAUGAAGCCACAGACUUUCUGUGUGAUCUUGGGCAAGUUGUCUCACAAGGCACACAAAAGCAGGCAGGUUUAAAAAACAAAAAAAAAACAAAAAAAAAACAAAAAAACAACAACAACAAAAAAAAACCCUGCUCAAGCAAUCAAGCCAUUAUAUGAAACUCUCCAUAUGCUGGCAUGAAUGGAUAAAUAAAGUAAAUAUGUGAUGUUUUGCUUUUAAGGAGAUAAGCACAAAACCAUGCUCAGAGAGUAACUUAAUGUCUCAAAGCUGGAGAACAAAUUUCAGAAGUCUUUUGUAAAAUGAUUCUGUGCCAUGAGUUUGAAUACAAAAUUCUACAGUAUUCAUUUAUGCACCACAAUUUCUGUUUGUAAAAUCAGGAUCAUUUUACUUCUUUGCUUACAAAACUGUUCAGAAAUUGUUUGCGAGAUAUUCAGCUGAGAGUAGAAAAGAGACAGACUGAUGAGAAAGCUUUAUCAGUGUUCUGUGGCUUGUUUUUGAAUUUCCCCUUCACACAAAUUACGUCUUUCAGCAUUAUUUCAGCAACGACUAAAAGAAAAUCCAAUCGUGUCAGAUGAUUCUCAUGUUUUUGCCUCUGCAGAAGCGCACACAGUGGUGUGUUUACAGGAAACGCCUGCUGCAGGGGCAGUUUGGUAGUUAGGCAUGGUCUCAGAUUUGACUAACAUGCUCACAUGAUUGGGUUUACUAAAUGAAGACACAGAUGAGACGGUGAUGAGAAAGCUGCAAGCAAUCAGGUUCUUGCAACAUCAGAUAAUCCAUGGAGCGACUCUGUGCUGCAGCCAUGCACAAGGCUCCCUCCCCCCCCAAGAAUGUGCCCUGCUCUUGCAUUAGCAGCUAUCUCCUCGGUGCAGAUUCAGUUACCAGCCUCCCUCUGUCAGCAGCAGCAGCUUGGGGGGUUGUGGUUUUGUUCUCCCCCACCCCCCUGUGCAUUUUAGGCCAAAGUACUGCAUUCUUUAAAAAUGCAUUUGUAUUUCUAAGGUUUUUUCACACAACUAUAAUUUGUAGGACUAGUUAACUUUAUCAGCAGCAAAUUUAACAUAGAACAGUUUAUUUUUAUAAUGAGAAAGAAGCUGCAGAUCUUUUUCUUCCAGUAUUUUAUACAUCCUGUCUGUAUAAACACAUAGAUUCAAGUCCUGUGAGGCACGCUGACAGUACAGCUAUUAAAGAUUUUCUAUUUGACCUUGAUUUUGUUUUCACUGAGUAUGAACUUUAACAGACUUGAAGCAUGACACGCCGUUUCUUUUCAUUUAUCACAAGCACAUGUAGUGUAGGAGAAGACAUGUAAACAAAAGCUUGUUCAAUAGCAUGUAGGUUUCUCAGCAAAAAUACAUCACUUUCUCCUAGCUCAUUUUGUUCAACCUACAGUUUUAUUCCUGUACUUUGUUCUGCAAAUUUCCUUUUCAAACUGAGAGCACACUGUGAUGUGAAUGUUCUCUUUUCUUAUAACCAAUGGGUAAAAGGUCUUUGGGUCUUACUGUCAUUUUUUUUUAAGUGCACGAGUUGUUGGUAGCAUAUAUAACAGCAAUGAGAGCAGCAGAGCACUACUGUGGUGAUCAAAUGAGAAUGAAGAUUUGCAUGGAGAAGCAAUGUUUUUCAUUGGAGUGAUGCAGCUGUAAAAGAGGAGGGCUAGUGGCACGGCAGCUCUUCCCUCAGGACUGAAAACAGAAGCAAACUUCAAGCGUGCACAUACUGUACUGUGCAGGGAAUGAAAAGAAACACACGGGUGAAAUAUAAGCUGUGCAAAAAAAAAAAAAAAGAUGAAUAAACUGAAGAUCCUGAAGUUAUACUUUCUGCCCCAGAUGUGCUCCGCUAUCAGGGGCAGAGGCCCUAAACUUUUGUUGUAACUUUCCAGAUUGUCCUCUGCUAUCACCUGGCCUUUACUCUGAAUAUCAAGGGUCAGAUCUAGAGAUCUGUUAAUCCACUCUCUUCCUUGAUUAGUUUGGGC